rnacentral:rRNA from 1 species
GCAAUGGGAUGGUCUAAGCAUGCGAGUCAUUGUAGUAAUACAAGGCAGACGGCUCAGUAACGCGUAGUCAAUCUACCCUAUGGACGAGGAUAACCUCGGGAAACUGAGAAUAAUACUCGAUAGAACACUAUGCCUGGAAUGGUUUGUGUUUGAAAUGAUUUAUCGCCGUAGGAUGGGACUGCGGCCUAUCAGUUUGUUGGUGAGGUAAUGGCCCACCAAGACUAUUACAGGUACGGGCUCUGAGAGGAGUGGCCCGGAGAUGGGUACUGAGACACGGACCCAGGCCCUAUGGGGCGCAGCAGGCGAGAAAACUUUGCAAUGUGCGAAAGCACGACAAGGUUAAUCCGAGUGGUCUCUGCUAAAGAGACCUUUUGUUAGUCCUAGAAACACUGAUGAAUAAGGGGUGGGCAAGUUCUGGUGUCAGCCGCCGCGGUAAAACCAGCACCUCAAGUGGUCAGGAUGAUUAUUGGGCCUAAAGCAUCCGUAGCCGGCUCUGUAAGUUUUCGGUUAAAUCUGUACGCUUAACGUACAGGCUGCCGGGAAUACUGCACAGCUAGGAAGUGGGAGAGGUAGACGGUACUCGGUAGGAAGGGGUAAAAUCCUUUGAUCUAUUGAUGACCACCUGUGGCGAAGGCGGUCUACCAGGACACGUUCGACGGUGAGGGAUGAAAGCUGGGGGAGCAAACCGGAUUAGAUACCCGGGUAGUCCCAGCUGUAAACUAUGCAAACUCAAUGAUGCAUUGGCUUGUGGCCAAUGCAGUGUUGCAGGGAAGCCGUUAAGUUUGCCGCCUGGGAAGUACGUACGCAAGUAUGAAACUUAAAGGAAUUGGCGGGGGAGCACCACAAGGGGUGAAGCCUGCGGUUCAAUUGGAGUCAACGCCGGGAAUC